GAUGAACGAUGGCUGUGUGCCUAAUACAUGCAUGUCGAGCGGAUGUAGCAAUACUUAGCGGCGAAUGGGUGAGUAACACGUGCUUAAUCUACCUCUUAGAUUGGAAUACCUAAUGGAAACAUUGGUUAAUGCCGGAUACGCAUGGAGUCGCAUGACUCCGUUGUGAAAGGGGCCUUUAAAGCUCCACUAAGAGAUGAGGGUGCGGAACAUUAGCUAGUUGGUGAGGUAACGGCCCACCAAGGCUAUGAUGCUUAGCCGGGUCGAGAGACUGAACGGCCACAUUGGGACUGAGAUACGGCCCAAACUCCUACGGGAGGCAGCAGUAGGGAAUAUUCCACAAUGAGCGAAAGCUUGAUGGAGCGACACAGCGUGCACGAUGGAGGUCUUAUGGAUUGUAAAGUGCUGUUGCAAGGGAAGAAAAAGUAGUUGAGGAAAUGCUUCUACAUUGACGGUACCUUGUUAGAAAGCGAUGGCUAACUAUGUGCCAGCAGCCGCGGUAAUACAUAGGUCGCAAGCGUUAUCCGGAAUUAUUGGGCGUAAAGCGUUCGUAGGCUGUUUAUUAAGUCUGGAGUCAAAUCCCAGGGCUCAACUCUGUAUUGCGUUGGAAACUGUGUAACUAGAGUACUGGAGAGGUAAGCGGAACUACAAGUGUAGAGGUGAAAUUCGUAGAUAUUUGUAGGAAUGCCGAUGGGGAAGCCAGCUUACUGGACAGAUACUGACGCUGAAGCGCGAAAGCGUGGGUAGCGAACAGG
rnacentral:rRNA from 1 species